UACGGAGGAUCCAAGCGUUAUCCGGAUUUAUUGGGUUUAAAGGGUGCGUAGGCGGGGAAUUAAGUCAGUGGUGAAAGUUUGCAGCUCAACUGUAAAAUUGCCAUUGAAACUGAUUUUCUUGAGUGUAAAUGAGGUAGGCGGAAUGUGUUGUGUAGCGGUGAAAUGCUUAGAUAUAACACAGAACACCGAUUGCGAAGGCAGCUUACUGGGGAUACAACU
rnacentral:rRNA from 1 species